rnacentral:rRNA from 1 species
AAUGUAAUUCAUACAACGUUAAUGAAUUGAAUCCCACUACAACUCUGUAGUUAAAUAUGCUUGGGAUAGCGUAGUAUUAGGAUGGGUGAUCUCCCAGGAAGUCCUAGUCUUUUACAUGC